GGCAAGGUAGCUCAGUCGGUAGAGCGUCGGCCUCAUAAGCCGAAGGUCGGUGGUUCAAGUCCACCCCGCGCCACCA
rnacentral:tRNA from 1 species